CAACUUUAGGCGGUGGAUCACUCGGCUCGUGCGUCGAUGAAGAACGCAGCCAGCUGCGUGAAUUAAUGUGAAUUGCAGGACACAUUGAACAUCGACAUUUUGAACGCAUAUUGCGGCCACAGGUCCGUCCUGUGGCCACGCCCGUUUGAGGGUCGGC
rnacentral:rRNA from 1 species